AUUGAACGCUGGCGGGAGGCUUAACACAUGCAAGUCGAACGAGUGGCGGACGGGUGAGUAAUAUCUUGGAAACUGCCCGAUCGAGGGGGAUACCUACUGGCAACGGUGGCUAAUACCGCAUACUAUCGGAUGUGCCCCUAUCGGAUUAGCUAGUAGGUGGUGUAACGGCUCACCAAGGCCACGAUCCGUAGCUGGUCUGAGAGGAUGACCAGCAACACUGGAACUUAGAAACGGGCCAGACUCCUACGGGAGGCAGCAGGGGGGAAUAUUGCACAAUGGGCGAAAGCCUGAUUCAGCCAUGCCGCGUGUAUGAAGAAGGCCUUCGGGUUGUAAAGUACUUUCAGCGAGGAGGCGUUACUCGCAGAAGAAGAACCGGCUAACUACGUGCCAGCAGCCGCGGUAAUAC
rnacentral:rRNA from 1 species